AUAGCGUAUAUUAAAGUUGUUGCAGUUAAAAAGCUCGUAGUUGAACUUCGGGGUCUACCCAUUGGUCAGGCUUAAUUGUCUGCACUGGUGGGAUGGAUCUCUACCUUCUGAGGAACUUUCAUGCCAUUUAUUUGGUGUGAUUGGAAAUCAGGACUGUUACUUUGAAAAAAUUAGAGUGUUUAAAGCAGACUAUCGUCUGAAUACAUUAGCAUGGAAUAAUGAAAUAGGACGGACUGAUUCUAUUUCGUUGGUUUCUAGGAUCACCGUAAUGAUUAAUAGGGAUAGUUGGGGGCAUUAGUAUUCAAUUGUCAGAGGUGAAAUUCUUGGAUUUAUUGAAGACUAACUACUG
rnacentral:rRNA from 1 species